AGUGAACGCUGGCGGUAGGCCUAACACAUGCAAGUCGAACAGCAGCACAGGAGAGCUUGCUCUCUAGGUGGCGAGUGGCGGACGGGUGAGGAAUACAUCGGAAUCUGCCCAGUCGUGGGGGAUAACGUAGGGAAACUUACGCUAAUACCGCAUACGGCCUUCGGGUGAAAGAGGGGGAUCGCAAGACCUCUCGCGAUUGGAUGAGCCGAUGUCGGAUUAGCUAGUUAGCGGGGUAAUGGCCCACCAAGGCGACGAUCCGUAGCUGGUCUGAGAGGAUGAUCAGCCACACUGGAACUGAGACACGGUCCAGACUCCUACGGGAGGCAGCAGUGGGGAAUAUUGGACAAUGGGCGCAAGCCUGAUCCAGCCAUACCGCGUGGGUGAAGAAGGCCUUCGGGUUGUAAAGCCCUUUUGUUGGGAAAGAAAUCUUUCAGGCUAAUACCCUGGGAGGAUGACGGUACCCAAAGAAUAAGCACCGGCUAACUUCGUG
rnacentral:rRNA from 1 species